UUUUUUUUUUUUUUUUUUUUUUUCCAGAUUUUCCUCCAAUUAUUUUUUCUACCGUUUCGGCUGCUCCAACCGUUCCAGCCGCGACAGGCCCGUUCUGUGGUUCCAUCUCGCCCGUCCCGCCGCUAUCCCGGUGUUUCAACGCGUCACAGUGCAAAAAUCGGUUUGGUUAGGGAUUCCGGAACGGAGGGCACCGUUCCCGUUCCGUUCCGGCGAACCCUGGGACCCACCGUUGGAAUAAUUGGAUUUCAGAUGUACACGGGAGUUGGUGAUUUCCGGCCGAGGUCGCCGAUGGUGGCCGUAAUCUGGAGUUCAGCUUUUGGCUCUUCAAAGAAUUAAAUGAACGGAGGUCUUAACGGUGGAUUAUUGAUGAUAAAAGGUACCGUUACAAAGCUCGAGAAGUUAGCUUCCCAUUGAUGGUGGUGCUCGGCGGUUUUAUUCGGCGGUGGUCGCCGAAAUUCGGUGUGAAAUUCAGCCUGCUCGCCGGAACCCUAAGGGAAAUAAAAUCUGCUACCGCACCUGUUUCAGAGCCAAAAUCGAAGGGUUUGGAGUGUGAAUUUGGGAAUAAUUCCUUCUCAAAACUCGUAGAGGACCUCGAAAACUAAGAGUAUGUCAUUCGUUGUUGUGUACCUAAGAAAAUUUUGGUCUAUGGUGCUGCUUUUGGUGCUAACUCGAGAACACAAAACAUUACAGGUGGGAACUGAACGAGAAAAUUGAUUUCAAUGGGAAGAAACUUCUACUAAAAAAGGAGCAAGGAGCAGGUUUUUUGUUUGACGAUUUGACAUGUAUAAAUUUGAACAAAUCAACACUCUUACAUCAGAUGGAGCUGAUACAGAAAAUUAUAUUAGAUUGCCGGGGCCCGGGUGCUGCUCACGAUUAUACGAGAUUUAUUUGUCGUGCAUCCAGGUAACUAGGUUGGUGGUCAAUAGAUGAAGGGAGUCAGGAGGAGCAGGUUCGGCUAUAUUGUGCAUUGGGAUCUAGGUAGUGUUUGAUGAAGU